AGACCCGAAACCCGGUGAUCUAGCCAUGGGCAGGUUGAAGGUUGGGUAACACUAACUGGAGGACCGAACCGACUAAUGUUGAAAAAUUAGCGGAUGACCUGUGGCUGGGGGUGAAAGGCCAAUCAAACCGGGAGAUAGCUGGUUCUCCCCGAAAGCUAUUUAGGUAGCGCCUCGUGAAUUCAUCUCCGGGGGUAGAGCACUGUUUCGGCUAGGGGGCCAUCCCGGCUUACCAACCCGAUGCAAACUGCGAAUACCGGAGAAUGUUAUCACGGGAGACACACGGCGGGUGCUAACGUCCGUCGUGAAGAGGGAAACAACCCAGACCGCCAGCUAAGGUCCCAAAGUCAUGGUUAAGUGGGAAACGAUGUGGGAAGGCCCAGACAGCCAGGAUGUUGGCUUAGAAGCAGCCAUCAUUUAAAGAAAGCGUAAUAGCUCACUGGUCGAGUCGGCCUGCGCGGAAGAUGUAACGGGGCUAAACCAUGCACCGAAGCUGCGGCAGCGAACGUAUCACCCAAGACAACUUUACGGAGUUGACGAUUGACGGAGCGAAGCGACGUCAAAGCGUUCAUUAAAGUCGAGUUGGCUUAGGGAUACGUUCGUUGGGUAGGGGAGCGUUCUGUAAGCCUGUGAAGGUGUGUCGUGAGGCAUGCUGGAGGUAUCAGAAGUGCGAA
rnacentral:rRNA from 3 species